GAUGAACGCUAGCGGCAGGCUUAAUACAUGCAAGUCGAGGGGCAGCACGGGUAGCAAUACCUGGUGGCGACCGGCAAACGGGUGCGGAACACGUACAGAACCUUCCUUUAAGUGGGGAAUAGCCCGGAGAAAUCCGGAUUAAUACCCCGUAAUAUUAUGAGGUGGCAUCACCAUAUAAUUAUAGAUUUAUCGCUUAGAGAUGGCUGUGCGGCUGAUUAGGUAGUUGGUGCGGGUAACGGCCCACCAAGCCUGCGAUCAGUAACUGGUGUGAGAGCACGACCAGUCACACGGGCACUGAGACACGGGCCCGACUCCUACGGGAGGCAGCAGUAAGGAACAUUGGUCAAUGGACGCAAGUCUGAACCAGCCAUGCCGCGUGAA
rnacentral:rRNA from 1 species